GGAUCCUUUAAUAAAUCCAGAAGUAAAUUGUGAUGUUGCGGCUGGCAGGCAACCAUUAUCGAGAAGCUGGAGUCCUGCCCGAGGGGGUGAAAAGCGAGAUCAUUUGAUUUAUUGAUGAUCCACUUGUCUGACUGUUGAAGGACAGUGAAUCACCGCCGGCAGUGAUUUAUACGCGUACAGAAAAGCGGAGAAAAUGAAGGUUGCGGGUGCAGUGGCGGGGCUCUUCUUCAUGUGCCUGACUUGCUGUUUACCUGUGACUCCUUCGUAUUCAUUCCUCCUGGAGGACAUGGAAGGGUCCAGCGAUGAUCAGGAAUUUUCAGGCUCUGGGGACUGGAUCUAUAAGGACAGUGUAACAGAGACAAAAAUCGUGGACCAGUCGACCAAGUGGCCAUCAGCUAGGUUGCAGCCCAACGACUUUGAUUAUUCCGGGGAUGGCAGGCUUAGAGGAGAGAGGAGUGAAAACUCCAUGUUUGAUUUUGACCUUGAAGACCAAAAUGAGAUCAUCCCACACGUUAGGACUAAAGAUCUGGACAGCAGAAUAUUUGAUAAUGCUGACAUGAGCUGGCCAGAGACACUAGCCUUUGGAAAGAGCAGGGGUGUUCUGAACAGGUCUGAAGUCCUUGCAGGUGUUGUUGCUGCAGGCCUGGUGGCAUUGGCUAUGGCUAUCAUGAUGGUAUCUUUCAUGGUCUACAAGCUCAAGAAGAAGGAUGGGGGCAGCUAUGACACUGGCAGCCCCAAUGAGAAAUAUCAGAAGCCCCAAAAAAAAAAGGAAUUCUUUGUUUAACUUCCCUUUACUGAAUAUACUGAACAUUUGUCUAAUCUGCCUAUGUCUUUCUAUGUGUGUGUUAUAGAGGAAGAGCUCCUCUUCAGUUUCUCUCCAUCACCAAAGCCCAGUGUCCCUUGUCUGUCAUUUUUUUUAUGGGAGGAGUGCUGUUUUUCCAGUCAUUUUUAUGUAAUACAAGAAUAAUUAGCUUUUUUUCUGUGGGUAGCCUUCUAAUUCACUUUUCUCAGGUGUUAAUAUAAAUUGAUAAAUAUAUUUUAGAAGUGUAUGUAAAUUUAUUCCUAUGUGCAUAUUGGGUCAAUGGCUAAAGGUUUCAGUGAGUACUUAUCUGAAGGUCAGUAAAGUGUAGAAAAAUAAUAAUAGAACACAUCUUAAACACAAGACAGAUAAGUUUAAAAAAGAACUGGUGGAAUUUGAUGUUAAAUUUAAUCAUUUGUUGAAAAGUGCAAGAACUAAAUGAUGAUGAUCAAUGCAAAUUUAAUCCUGAAGGUUGAAGAUUUGAGUGAUAAUUAUAUAAGCAGUGUUCAGCGUGCUGGGCUAUGAGUAUCCAUCAAUGCAUGUUCAUUGUUUCUGCUUCUAGUCAUCUGUAAAUGUGCCUUAAUUCUGUUGUUGGCAAGCUCACUUGGAAAAAUAUUUGCCUUUUGCUGAGUAUGUGGAGACAUUUAUGCAUAUUUACAAAGUCUCCCUUUCUACAGAAAAACAACUUUGCAAUUAUAAUGGUGGAUGUUCAGGGUCAAGAACUAAAUAUAUUAUCUUUUUUAAGAAGAUAUAGCUCAAGAAACAUGUACAGUAUAUUGAUGCCUUACACACACAUUGUCUGAACCGCUUGGCCCAUGCGGGGUUGCGGUGGGCCAGACCCUAACCCGGCAACACAGGGCAUAAGGCUGGAGGGGGAGGGGACGCGCCCAGGAUGGGAUGCCAGUCCAUCGCAAGGCACCACAACCAGGGCUUGAACCCUAAACCUACCAGAAAGUAGGCCCUGGCCACACCCACUGUGCCACCACAUCCCCUUGAUGCCUUCUGUAUGUGAAAAUAUUACAGUGUAAAGCUCCUUACAGUUUUGACCUUUCUUUCUAAAAUUAAGCGGUUAAACAGCUGUUGACAGAGACGAGAAUCUGAGAAACAUCUAUUAUGUCACCAUGUGUGGAAUAAGUUGUAAUACAUUUGCAUUUCAUCCAAAGGUUCCCAUUUCAAGGGGAAUUGUCACUUAAAAUUUUUUUAAGAAUUGAUCAAAUCAGAAACGGUCUUAAUUGAUUUUAAUGCACUUGAUUUAAUGAAACCGAACCAACAAUGUUUCUUGCACUUUCAUGUGUGGCCCUGAAACUGGCUUAGCCACAAAUUUCAGCUAGGUGGUAGUUUAGCUGUACAAGUUAAAAGCACUGUAUGCAGACUGCACAGGGUCAACAGAAUGAUCACAGUGCAAAACAAAGAUAUAUGUCAAUAUAAAUAUUUAGUUACACAUGCCAGCCUCCCCUUGCGAUGGAUUGGCAUCCCGUCAAGGGUAUACCCCUCCACCCCUACAGCCUUGCGCCCAGUGUUUCCAGGAUAGGCUCCAGCCCACUGUGACCCCACUCGGGACAUAUGGAAAUUGGAUUGCUUUGGAUUGGAUGCCAGCCUCCUGUCAUCCAGUGUUCAGUCUUUAUUUUUAUUUUUCAUACCGUAAGUUAUUUUUUUCAAAUGAAAUGGAUUGAUUAUUUAAGUCAUUUAAUGAUCCCAGAGUUAAAAUGUACACAUAUCUGAAUUACCCCUCCCCACUUCAUUAAUUAACAAAGCAUGAGUACAGCACUGUUUAGCAUAUGUAGAAAUUAAUUUUCCAUAUUCGUGACAGUUCUAUUUAUUACUUAUAGUUUUUGAAGGUGGAUGGUUUGAAUGGCAUGUAUUCUUGGUGUGUGUUUUGUAAAUUGGGAAUUAUCAAAAUAUAUAUUUAUUACUUGGUUUUAUUUGUUCAGUGUGUAUUGAAUAAUAUAUCAAACAAUGGAAAUGAUCUUAGAAUAAGUUAUAAAGAGUUUAUUUGAACCCUAUGAAACAUCUUUGUAGUGGAGAAAGGAAGAAUAACAUCAGGGAAUUAUAGAAAUUCAUUAUAAUUAACUGUACACCCUGCAAAGGGAACUCAUCUGUUGUUUAUAUGCAGUAACAGUGGUGAAAGUGACUCAUGCACAAUCUUCUGGUCAGAUUUUGUACUGAAUAAAGGCCAUUUCUGAAUGUAGAAGUUUGGCUCG
ensembl:lncRNA